CCUACGGGAGGCAGCAGUGGGGAAUAUUGGACAAUGGGCGAAAGCCUGAUCCAGCAAUGCCGCGUGAGUGAUGAAGGCCUUAGGGUUGUAAAGCUCUUUUACCAGGGAUGAUAAUGACAGUACCUGGAGAAUAAGCUCCGGCUAACUCCGUGCCAGCAGCCGCGGUAAUACGGAGGGAGCUAGCGUUGUUCGGAAUUACUGGGCGUAAAGCGUACGUAGGCGGUUAUUCAAGUCAGAGGUGAAAGCCUGGAGCUCAACUCCAGAACUGCCUUUGAAACUAGAUAGCUAGAAUCUUGGAGAGGUGAGUGGAAUUCCGAGUGUAGAGGUGAAAUUCGUAGAUAUUCGGAAGAACACCAGUGGCGAAGGCGACUCACUGGACAAGUAUUGACGCUGAGGUACGAAAGCGUGGGGAGCAAACAGGAUUAGAUACCCUGGUAGUCCACGCCGUAAACGAUGAUAACUAGCUGUUCGGGCUCUACGAGCUUGAGUGGCGCAGCUACGACAUUAAGUUAUCCGUCCGUCGGGAGGUACGGUCGCGAAGAAUUAAACUAACAAAGGAAAGUUAGACGGCGUGAGACGUGCCGAACGGACGACGACGAGGGAGGUAGG
rnacentral:rRNA from 1 species